GAUGAACGCUGGCGGCGUGCCUAACACAUGCAAGUCGAACGACACCGUCGUGUCCACUGUCGCCUUGAAGCGUAAACCCUGGGAACUUGGACUUAAGUUAGCCACAUCAUUUCGAAAGGGGUGCUAAUCCGGGAUGAUUUCUAACGACCAAAGCUUUAUCGCGCUUGGAGGGGCCCGCGUUGGAUUAGCUUGUUGGUAGGGUAAAAGCCUACCAAGCCGACGAUCCAUAGCUGGUCUGAGAGGAUGAUCAGCCACACUGGAACUGAGACACGGCCCAGACUCCUACGGGAGGCAGCAGUGGGGAAUAUUGGACAAUGGGCGAAAGCCUGAUCGAGCAACGCCGCGUGAAUGAUGAAGGCCUUAGGGUUGUAAAGCUCUUUUACCAGUGAUGAUAAUGACGGUACCUGAUGAAUAAGCACCGGCUAACUCCGUG
rnacentral:rRNA from 1 species